rnacentral:rRNA from 1 species
AUUGAACGCUGGCGGCAGGCCUAACACAUGCAAGUCGAGCGGAUGAAGGGAGCUUGCUCCUGGAUUCAGCGGCGGACGGGUGAGUAAUGCCUAGGAAUCUGCCUGGUAGUGGGGGAUAACGUCCGGAAACGGGCGCUAAUACCGCAUACGUCCUGAGGGAGAAAGCGGGGGAUCUUCGGACCUCACGCUAUCAGAUGAGCCUAGGUCGGAUUAGCUAGUUGGUGGGGUAAAGGCCUACCAAGGCGACGAUCCGUAGCUGGUCUGAGAGGAUGAUCAGUCACACUGGAACUGAGACACGGUCCAGACUCCUACGGGAGGCAGCAGUGGGGAAUAUUGGACAAUGGGCGAAAGCCUGAUCCAGCCAUGCCGCGUGUGUGAAGAAGGUCUUCGGAUUGUAAAGCACUUUAAGUUGGGAGGAAGGGCAGUAAGUUAAUACCUUGCUGUUUUGACGUUACCAACAGAAUAAGCACCGGCUAACUUCGUG